GACGAACGCUGGCGGCGUGCUUAACACAUGCAAGUCGAACGAAGUGGCGAACGGGUGAGUAACGCGUAAUCAACCUGCCCUUCAGAGGGGGACAACAGUUGGAAAGGACUGCUAAUACCGCAUACUGAAGGAGGGGAUUGCGUCUGAUUAGCUAGUUGGAGGGGUAACGGCCCACCAAGGCGAUGAUCAGUAGCCGGGUUUGGGGGAUGGACGGCCAAAUUGGGACUGAGACAAGGCCCAGAAUCCUACGGGAGGCAGCAGUGGGGAAUCUUCCGAAAUGGACGAAAGUCUGACGGAGCAACGCCGCGUGAGUGAUGACGGCCUUCGGGUUGUAAAGCUAUGUUAAUCGGGACGCGGUACCGGAAUAGAAAGCCACGGCUAACUACGUGCCAGCAGCCGCGGUAAUUC
rnacentral:rRNA from 1 species